AGGCAGCAGUUAGGAAUCUUCCGCAAUGGACGAAAGUCUGACGGAGCAACGCCGCGUGAGUGAUGAAGGUUUUCGGAUCGUAAAACUCUGUUGUUAGGGAAGAACAAGUACCGUUCGAAUAGGGCGGCACCUUGACGGUACCUAACCAGAAAGCCACGGCUUACUACGUGCCAGCAGCCGCGGUAAUACGUAGGUGGCAAGCGUUGUCCGGAAUUAUUGGGCGUAAAGCGCGCGCAGGCGGUUUCUUAAGUCUGAUGUGAAAGCCCCCGGCUCAACCGGGGAGGGUCAUUGGAAACUGGGGAACUUGAGUGCAGAAGAGGAGAGUGGAAUUCCACGUGUAGCGGUGAAAUGCGUAGAUAUAUGGAAGCACACCGGUGGCGAAGGCGGCUCUCUGGUCUGUUACUGACGCUGAGGCUCGAAAGCAUGGGUAGCGAACAGGAUUAGAUACCCUAGUAGUCC
rnacentral:rRNA from 1 species